rnacentral:rRNA from 1 species
AGCGAACGCUGGCGGCAUGCCUAACACAUGCAAGUCGAACGAGACCGUCGGGUCUAGUGGCGCACGGGUGCGUAACGCGUGGGAAUCUGCCCUUGGGUUCGGAAUACUCAGAGAAAUUUGAGCUAAUACCGGAUGAUGACGUAAGUCCAAAGAUUUAUCGCCCAAGGAUGAGCCCGCGUAAGAUUAGCUUGUUGGUAGGGUAACGGCCUACCAAGGCGACGAUCUUUAGCUGGUCUGAGAGGAUGAUCAGCCACACUGGGACUGAGACACGGCCCAGACUCCUACGGGAGGCAGCAGUGGGGAAUAUUGGACAAUGGGCGAAAGCCUGAUCCAGCAAUGCCGCGUGAGUGAUGAAGGCCUUAGGGUUGUAAAGCUCUUUUACCAGGGAUGAUAAUG